rnacentral:rRNA from 1 species
CUUCGGGGUGUAAACCUCUUUCCGCAGGGACGAUAAUGACGGUACCUGCAGAAGAAGCUCCGGCUAACUACGUGCCAGCAGCCGCGGUAAUACAUAGGCGGCGAGCGUUGUUCGGAAUUACUGGGCGUAAAGGGUGUGUAGGCGGUGCUCUAAGUUUGGUGUGAAAUCUCCCGGCUCAACUGGGAGGGUGCGCCGGAGACUGUCGGGCUUGAGUGUGGGAGAGGAAAGUGGAAUUCCUGGUGUAGCGGUGAAAUGCGUAUAUAUCUGGAGGAACACCUGUGGUGUAGCGGCUUUCUGGACCAUUACUGACGCUGAAGCACGAAAGCCUGGGGAGCAAACAGGAUUAAAUACCCUGGUAGUCCACGCCCUAAACGAUGGG